GGGCCGACGCCGCGGCUCCGGAGCGUCCGCCGCGGGGCCUCCGGGGUCCUGGGAUCGAAGGCCUGGGACCCCGGGUGCGCAGCCCGCGCUCCCAUUACCAGUCUGAGACCAGCCGGAGCUGCCCCAAACCAGCUAGUCCAGGACCCCUGCGCUGAGGCUCCACCUUGCAAGGACGGAGGAGCCGAGGGCGAAGUUCCCCGUUAGAAUCACCGGGCGGUGUGGGGAGCUGGGGCCAGGCCUCAAAAGCGACUUCUAAAGCCGCAGGCUCCGGUGCAGUGUUGGGGGAGCUGUGGUCACCGGCGGCUGUCAGGCUUGCGCUGCUCCCCGGCUGGACCUCGCCGCACGCUUAGGAUCCAGUGCUCCCCUGUCAAGUUCCCAUCCGCAGGAGCCACGCUCGCUGGCUUUUGGAGUUGGGUGCAGAAGUGGGUUCCUUGCUCUCAGCCGCUUGGAAGGCCCAGGUGAUUCCUGUGCACUUACAAGAUGGAGCGGUGCUGCCUCAAAAGAUGACAGCUGAUCGGAAGAACACCGGGAAACGAUAGGGGUGACAUCUGUAGAACGAAGGGACAGGACAUGACUAAAUAGCGGAGCGUGGAGGCAAUUUGAGCGCUGCAUCCAAAGGGGAGCUUGUGCCUUGCAUGCUGUCCAUUGGUGAUAUUAGAAGCAGUGCAGGAAUGGGGAGAAGGAUUUUAGGUGUGUCUGCUGGAAGUACUCCGUAGGCUCUUCUCUACAUGAGCCUUCGUCAGUGCUGUGGCAAGGCACCCUUCCACGUCACUAUGGAAAAGGAACAUCAUCUGAAGACAGAGACCACCAGGGAAGAGCAAGCGAUCACAGAGGCAUAGAUGGAAAUGUUACAGCAGGAUCUCUAAGGAGGCCACCAAGGAAGAGCAAGCGAUCACAGAGGCAUAGAUGGAAAUGUUUCAACAGGAUCUCUAAGGAUAGAAGCAAGGAAGGAUUUUUCACUACAGAUUUCACAGGGAACAUGGCCCUGCUGACAUCUUCAUUUCUGAUGUCUGUCCAUCAGAGCCAUGGAUAGUUUCUGUAGAUGUAACAGAAAACAGACAAAAAUGGGACUUUGUUAGAGCCUCCCUUGAAAAGUCUAUGUAUCUGCUGUACCAUGUUCCCUGUUCUUUUUGAGGACCAAUCAUGUGACUUGUAGAUUCCCACUUGGCUAAAUUUCACAUUCUCCUUAUUUCCCUGGAACAUGAAGUAAACCAACUCUGUGUUCCUUGCUGUCCAAGCAUAAGAAUAAACCGGAACCAGGAGUGGGGCCGUUACAAUAAACAUUGGUGAGAAAUGAUGGCCAUGUGAAGCUGUUUGCUGUGAUGGGGUCAUGUCCGAAGCAGGGAAGUUCUUACUGUAUUUACACACAUCUGCUGCAUUUGUACAACAGCCAUAAUCUGCUGCCUUAAGAUAAUUACACAAUGUCCCAAAGCAAGGGUUUGAGAGCUUUUUUAACCUCCAAAGAUGAAGUCUAAAAAAAAAAUCUAUAGGAUUGAAAGUUCCAUUGAAUUCCUGAUUAAUCCAUACCUCCAUGUGAAAAGUUAGACCAUAAUCAUCAGUUUCAAAUUCUAUUAAUGAGCUACUAAAAACAGAAAAGGUCAAGUGACUUACUCAAGGCCAGACCAGUUUUACGCUAUGUACAUUCUACCACAAUUAAAAGUAAUUAAAAAUUAAUAAAAACAUUCACUUUGUUAUGAGUUAUGUAAAUUAAUUAUUUGAAAUGCAAAUAGGAUAAACAGGAUUAUGUGUGAAUAUUUAAGGCUGAAGAUCAAACAAGUUCUCUGCUAAUGGCCUUGUAGUCUACCCUGAAUGGUACAUGUUGGGGCAAAGAAGGAGUUAUUUCCAAACAAGUUUAUGUUAAUAUGAAUAUUUUGCUGAAGUGGCCUACUAGCAAAUGAGACAAAAGUUUAAGAUAAUCUAAUUUUUAUGACCCUUACAGAAUAGUUCAAACAUAGAGACUAUGUCUUAUUGUAUU